rnacentral:lncRNA from 1 species
UGUGCGUGGUGGUCAUUGAAAACAUCUCCGGUGUUGCUCGCUUUCUGGACGAAGCCAAGCCAUUGUAGCCGCAGUCGGCGGCAGGAGCUAUAGUGGACGACACCGCCGAGGUGGGCCGCAUACUACUGCCGCGCCGGGCGCUGGGACAUGGGGAGCCGCCGCCCAACCUUAUGCGCUCGCCGGAGGGCGUCGCCGCGGAGGACCGGCCGGUAGUCGUGGCUUCGGGUGCAGACCAGCUGGAGGGCUGCACAAUUAGGCCCGGUGUGAAGGUCUCGCCGUGACCUCCAUGAACAAUGCACAAAACAACAUGUAGGUCCCGGUUCCUUUUUCUGGUACAAAGCAAUUUGCGUCAGUGUAUAGAUGUACAUGAAAAAUAAUCAAUUGACUGAUUACGGGAUGAUGAUAAGGAGUAAAUUCUUGAUUUAUUUCCCUUCUUAUCAGAUGCCAAUUUUUUUUUGACCAUUCGGUGCCGCGUCUGGCAGCCGCCGACGGAUAGCAGCCCCACGAACGCGCGGGAGGGCGAAGCAGUGCAGGGUCGGGAGCCGUCUCGCGCGCUAAGAGUCACCGCCGUCGUGCCUUGCGCCUCAUCGGUAUGACACAGCCGUUCCCCAAGGAGAUGUGGCCUCUGCUGCCGACGAUGGUUGGAAAUGUCGUGGAGGCUCUUUCUUGUGUGCGGCAUGUCGUUCUCGGUUACGAUCGUGCGUAAAACGAGAUUGAAUAAAAGUGAAUUGGACGAUUAGUCCUUUUUUAUUGAUUCUUAAGUAUAUAUAUGUAUAUAUAUAUCUGAAAGAGAUGAGAAGAGAGGUGUCUGUUCGGAGGCAUCCCUCCUAAAUUUCUCCUAAACAGAUGCAUGUUGACAAUAGAGAGAGAAAAUACAUGACUGUUCGGGAUUGGACACACCAUUUACUAAUUAAUUUCUA